ensembl:lncRNA
UGUCCUGGAGAUGCUGAGCUGCUCCAAGUUCUCCGGGCUGGAGACAUGGCUCUGCAUGCCGUCCUCCUUACUGCUGCCCAGCGGCCCGGACCUCACCCCCACCUCCUCCUCUUCACAUGCAUCCAACCAGCCGACCUCCUCUGCCUCAUCCUCCUCAUCCUCAGCCUCCAACUGCCGUCGCUCCACCUGCAGCGAUCCAGGAGAGACGCUCAGGUCGUGGGACGGCGACUCCUCCCUCCCCCCUCCUGCUCUCCUCCCAGUCUCCUCCACCCCCGCUGGACAGUCCUCCUCCCCCCCCCUCCUCCUCCUCCGCCGGGGGGGGCAUCAGGAAGCGUCGGCGCCUUGCUGCCAGUCCCGGAGGACUCCACUGGAACUCUGCAGGUUUGGUGCAACGGGACUGGUCACCUGACCCGUCUCCGGUGUCGGGGGAGAACGCAACAGCAGGACGAGGGGCGAGCCCCCCCCCCUGGUGCAGGUAGGCGGGGCCACGUGGGGGGCCGACCGGGCUGCCCUGAGACUCCUGAGUCGGCUGGAGAGAGGCAGGAAGAAGGUCCACGGCAUCCAGAGUCUGGGAACCACUGGCAGAUACGACUCCAGGAGGAAUCGUGAUGCUUCAGCCUCAUGUUUGGUCUCCUCGUCUGAGGAGACGCUGACAGCAUAUCAGACAAGAACAACAACAGCGUGAUGUUCAGAACAUUCAGCAGCAUCCGCGGCUUUAAUAACGCUCCACACACACCGAUGGGCCCAAGGCAGCCAUCAGGAAUAAUGGCCUCCGUCUACGCGUUGCCAUGGCGAUCGGGUGGAGGCGAUGAGCUCGGUGGGAGACUCUGAGGACAACUUCUGGUGUUUGUGGAUCCCAGAGCUGCUGGAGUGGAUUCUGAUAACGAGAAGCUCCAUAUAACAAUAAUCACAAAUGAGUCAACCAUUGGAAUAAAAAACUGUUUUAGUUUCAGCUUCCUCCACUCGUGCUUUUUAGAUUCCUACAGAUAUUUGUGUUAAUUUGAUUUAAUAACUUCUCUAAUGACCAGUGGAGGAUGUAUUUAAACAACUUUAACGUGUCAUCAUCACACAAAUCCGACUGAGCUGUAAACUCUGUAACUGCCUUAAUGUUGAUUUAAAACCGUCUUGUGGUUUAUUCAAUUACAAUAAUGGACUCAAACAUUUAGAUGGACAUUUGUUUAAUUAUCCAUUCAAAUCUUAAAUCAAACACCAUCUAAACAAAGUUAAUAAACUUUGGUAGUAACUGUUGUCACAUUCUACCUCCUCUCAUUCUAGUUGGCUUCCUUUCCCCACGUCCUACUUUCUCUCCCGUAUACACACGUACAGACAAGUGCAGUAAAAGACUACACAAUAGUGCAAAAGAUGACAGUUUCAUAAUUUCAGUGCUCCAACUAUUUGAUUUACAUGGAAAUAUGCAGCUAUAUAUGUUUAUAUUUGCAUAUAGAUAUAAAUCUAUUCUAUAUAACGAAUAUAUAAAUCUAUUUCUAUAUAUACAUAGUGCAUAGCUAUAUAAAUCUGUAUGUAUUCAUGUUUACAGGCGUGUUUUACUUUCGUAAAAGGUUCUCCUUCACCUGUUGCUCCUCCACGGUAACCAUGGAAACAGAGCCCAGCCAGCCAUCGCCACAAUUGUUUUAUUUCUCUCACCACACAGAGAAGCCGUAACUCCUGAUGUUCUCCGUGUGGGCGUGUGCGUGUGUGUGUGUGUAUGUGAUGUUCAUCACUGUCGUCACGAUGUACAAACAUCUGGAUUUAUGGAGCUAAUAACACUUCACUUACUUACCUUUAGGGUUACUGAUUUAAAUCGUGUGUAGACAUCGACUACUUCAUACACUAAAUGCACCCUUAUAGACGGCAAAUACUUUUAUACCAUAAAUAAACUUAAAUAUCAUGAAUAUACUUAAAUAACACAAACACACAAACUGCAAAAAAUGUCUAGAGUUAAAGUUAUUACAAUCAGCUGCUACUAUAUUUGAAUAAUUGAAUUUGGAUCUUUUCACCAUCUGAUGGUGAUCAAGAUGAUCAGAAGAAACACGUUGCAGCAGAGAAAAUAAAAUGAAUAUAUGAUAUACAGUAAUAAUAUAUGAUAUACAGUAAUAAUAUAUGAUAUACAGUAAUGAAUAUAUGAUAUACAGUAAUGAAUAUA